GACGGAGGAUGCAAGUGUUAUCCGGAAUCACUGGGCGUAAAGCGUCUGUAGGUGGUUCGAAAAGUCCACUGUUAAAAAUUGAGGCUUAACUUCAAAGAUGCCGUGGAAACUUUCAAACUAGAGUAUGGUAGGGGCAGAGGGAAUUCCUGGUGUAGCGGUGAAAUGCGUAGAGAUCAGGAAGAACAUCGGUGGCGAAGGCGCUCUGCUGGACCAUAACUGACACUCAGGGACGAAAGCUAGGGGAGCGAAUGGG
rnacentral:rRNA from 1 species